UACGAAGGGGGCUAGCGUUGUUCGGAAUUACUGGGCGUAAAGCGCGCGCAGGCGGUCUUCCAAGUCAGUGGUGAAAGCCCGGAGCUCAACUCCGGAACUGCCAUUGAAACUGUGAGACUGGAGUACGAGAGAGGUGAGUGGAAUUCCCAGUGUAGAGGUGAAAUUCGUAGAUAUUGGGAAGAACACCAGUGGCGAAGGCGGCUCUCUGGUCCGAUACUGACGCUGAGGCGCGAAAGCGUGGGGAGCACACAGG
rnacentral:rRNA from 1 species